GAAACAAGUUGAUCGAGACACUCUUGUGUCUUGAAAAUUUUCACGGGACAAUUCCAUUUUUUGACCGAGAUGAAUUUUUCAAGUUACUGUAAACAAAACAAUUUGCCCUCGAAUGACAAAACGUUCUGAGUGAAGUUGUCCUAAAAAAUGUCAAACUUUCCAAUGGAAGUGUCAGAUUGCACCUGGCAGCACUAGUAUUGCCAGGACCCGAAAUAUAAAUAGUGACCCUCGUAAAUUUCCUAUUUCAAUGAAAUAAAUAUUAUGUUAUUGGUGAGUAGGUUUUCUGAGUGCGCUCCAAUAUCAAAAAUUGAUUGAUUGUUGUCCCUUAUAUAAUGCAUUGUUUUACUGUUUUCAACACUAACACACUGUUUUUUUUUUGUUUUAUGCACUCCUUAUAUUCUUAAUAGUUUUUUUUUUUUGUGCAAUAGCUUUAAUGUAUUUUAAUUAAAAAUAUUUUCCAAUAGCACAUUAAAAAAAUUCUAUUUCAAAUGAAAUUAAAAUUCGGUCUGUUUUUAUUAUUAAAACAAGUAUAUCAUUUAUACCUGUUGUUAUUAUAUCGGUUUAUUUAUUAAUGAGCUAUGUUCAUUAAAAUUUUCAUUAUUUAUUUCAAAAAUCUUUAUUUUUGGUUUGACUUAAAUUUCGUAUAAUUUUUCGUAUUUGUAUUUUAAAAAUGUUUUUUGUUUUUUGUGGAUCAUCUCAUAUCUGUAUUUUUGCUUUUAUAAUUUUUUUACUCUUUAAAUUGUAUUUAAAUAUUUUUUAGAUUUGAAUUUAAAUAUAUUUUAUAUAAUAUUUUAUACAUAUUAUAUAAUAUAAUUAAUAUUCUUACAAAUUAUAAACUAACUUACAUUAUAAUAAUAAUUAAUAAUUAAUAAAAUUUCUAAAUACAAAUUAUAUAAUUUUAUUUCGAUUUUUUUUUUUUUUUUAAUCUUUCUUUUCAUUUAUGAUUAUUUGUUCAUUUUUGUUCUAUAUAUCAUAUAUUUAUUUAUUUUUCAUUUUUAAAUUUUUUUUUUUUUGUUUUUACACAGAGAGUUUUAACAUGUAUGUAAUCUUUUUUUUUUUUUUUUCAUUUUUCAAGUUUUUGUUGUAUAUUUUAAUUAAUUAAUUAUUUAUAAAUUUUUUUCCCUUAAAUUCUAGAUAAAUGGUAUUCUAAUAAUUAAUUUAAAAAUUAAUAUUUUUUUUUAUUAUAAACCGUUGUUUGUCCACUUCUUUUAUUUAUUUAUUUUUUUUUUUUUUAAAUUCUAAUUUUUAAUAUAUAAUGUUAAUUAAGGUGCAAAUUUCCUUUAAAAAUUUUUUAAUUAUUUAACUUUAGUUAUUUAAAAAAAAAAUAAAAGUAAUUAAAGAAUUAAAAAAAUAAAUUUAAAUAAAAUAAAAAAAAAAUUAAUACUUAAUUGCUUUCCGUGUUUUCCACUACAAU